rnacentral:lncRNA from 1 species
CCGGAACACUUUCUUCAAGACUUCCGGUUUGGAUGAUGUAUACCGGAACUCUUCUUUGAAGUGUUCCGGUACGUAAUUUUUUUUUUUUUUUUUUUUAAUUUUAAUUAUUUUUUUUAACAUUAUUUUUGCAGUGGUUCGAAGAAGAGGUGCAGAUGGCCGGAUUCCAGUCCGCACGUUAGACCGGGGUGCAUCUUCAUCUGCAGCUGCAGCUGAGCCGACUGGAUAUCCAGGAGGGCCGUACGAUACGUCUCUUUUGGUGAAGUACGAGCAUCAUGUUGCUCG